UACGAAGGGGGCUAGCGUUGUUCGGAAUUACUGGGCGUAAAGCGCACGUAGGCGGAUUGGAAAGUUGAGGGUGAAAUCCCAGGGCUCAACCCUGGAACUGCCUUCAAAACUUCUAGUCUUGAGGUCAGGAGAGGCGAGUGGAAUACCGAGUGUAGAGGUGAAAUUCGUAGAUAUUCGGUGGAACACCAGUGGCGAAGGCG
rnacentral:rRNA from 1 species